ACGUAGGUGGCAAGCGUUGUCCGGAAUUAUUGGGCGUAAAGCGCGCGCAGGCGGCCUUUUAAGUCUGAUGUGAAAGCCCCCGGCUCAACCGGGGAGGGCCAUUGGAAACUGGAAGGCUUGAGUACAGAAGAGAAGAGUGGAAUUCCACGUGUAGCGGUGAAAUGCGUAGAGAUGUGGAGGAACACCAGUGGCGAAGGCGACUCUUUGGUCUGUAACUGACGCUGAGGCGCGAAAGCGUGGGGAGCAAACAGGA
rnacentral:rRNA from 1 species